rnacentral:rRNA from 1 species
AACAAACGCUGGCGGCAGGCUUAACACAUGCAAGUCGAACGCCCCGCAAGGGGAGUGGCAGACGGGUGAGUAACGCGUGGGAACAUACCCUUUCCUGCGGAAUAGCUCUGGGAAACUGGAAUUAAUACCGCAUACGCCCUACGGGGGAAAGAUUUAUCGGGGAAGGAUUGGCCCGCGUUGGAUUAGCUAGUUGGUGGGGUAAAGGCCUACCAAGGCGACGAUCCAUAGCUGGUCUGAGAGGAUGAUCAGCCACAUUGGGACUGAGACACAGCCCAAACUCCUACGGGAGGCAGCAGUGGGGAAUAUUGGACAAUGGGCGCAAGCCUGAUCCAGCCAUGCCGCGUGAGUGAUGAAGGCCUUAGGGUUGUAAAGCUCUUUCACCGAUGAAGAUAAUGACGGUAGUCGGAGAAGAAGCCCCGGCUAACUUCGUGCCAGCCGCCGCGGUAACAC